rnacentral:rRNA from 1 species
CCUACGGGAGGCAGCAGUGGGGAAUAUUGCACAAUGGGGGAAACCCUGAUGCAGCGACGCCGCGUGAGUGAAGAAGUAAUUCGUUAUGUAAAGCUCUAUCAGCAGGGAAGAAAAUGACGGUACCUGAGUCAGAAGCUCCGGCUAACUACGUGCCAGCAGCCGCGGUAAUACGUAGGGGGCAAGCGUUAUCCGGAUUUACUGGGUGUAAAGGGAGCGUAGACGGCAGUGCAAGUCUGGAGUGAAAGGCGGGGGCUCAACCCUCGGACUGCUCUGGAAACUGUACGGCUGGAGUGCAGGAGAGGUAAGUGGAAUUCGUAGUGUAGCGGUGAAAUGCGUAGAUAUUAGGAGGAACACCAGUGGCGAAGGCGGCUUACUGGACUGUAACUGACGUUGAGGCUCGAAAGCGUGGGGAGCAAACAGGAUUAGAUACCCCUGUAGUC